UACUACAGCCAUGCCAUCCUGAAUAUGCCUGAUCCCAUCUGAUCUCAGAAGCUAAGCAGGGUUGGGCCUGGUUAGUACUUGGAUGGGAGAGCACCUAGAAAGACUGGGCGCUGUAGGCA
rnacentral:rRNA from 1 species